UGCCCCUUAUGCUUAGGGCUACACACGUGCUACAAUGGGUAGUACAGAGGGUUGCCAAGCCGUAAGGUGGAGCUAAUCCCUUAAAGCUACUCUCAGUUCGGAUUGUAGGCUGAAACUCGCCUACAUGAAGCUGGAGUUACUAGUAAUCGCAGAUCAGAAUGCUGCGGUGAAUGCGUUCCCGGGUCUUGUACCCACCGCCCGUCACACCACGGGAGUUGGAGACGCCCGAAGCCGAUUAUCUAACCUUUUGGAAGAAGUCGUCGAAGGGGGAAUCAAUAACUGGGGUGAAGUCGUAACAAGGUAGCCGGAUCGGAAGGUGCGGCUGGAUCACCUCCCUUCUAU
rnacentral:rRNA from 1 species